rnacentral:sRNA from 1 species
GCCAGGCGUGGUGGUGCAAGCCUGUAAUCCCAGCUACUUGGGAGGCUGAGGCAGGAGAAUCACUUGAACUCAGGAGGCGGAGGUUGUAGUGAGCUGAGAUCGCGCCACUACACUCCAGCCUGGGUGACAGAGUGAGAACCUGUCUUAA